CGGCGUGCCUAACACAUGCAAGUCGAGCGAGGAGAUCCUUCGGGAUGAUCCUAGCGGCGGACGGGUGAGUAACACGUGGGCAACCUGCCUCAUAGAGAGGAAUAGCCUUCCGAAAGGGAGAUUAAUACCUCAUAACAUUGGCAGUUUCGCAUGGAACAGCAAUUAAAGGAGUAAUCCGCUAUGAGAUGGGCCCGCGGCGCAUUAGCUAGUUGGUGAGGUAACGGCUCACCAAGGCGACGAUGCGUAGCCGACCUGAGAGGGUGAUCGGCCACAUUGGGACUGAGACACGGCCCAGACUCCUACGGGAGGCAGCAGUGGGGAAUAUUGCACAAUGGGGGAAACCCUGAUGCAGCCAACGCCGCGUGAGUGAUGACGGCCUUCGGGUUGUAAAGCUCUGUCUUCAGGGACGAUAAUGACGGUACCUGAGGAGGAAGCCACGGCUAACUACGUGCCAGCAGCAGC
rnacentral:rRNA from 1 species